UACAGAGGAGCCAAGCGUUGUCCGGAUUGACUGGGCGUAAAGCGCACGCAGGCGGAUGCGCGCGUGGGGUGUGAAAUCUGGCCGCUUAACGGCCAGGCGCCAUCCCAUACGGCGCGUCUGGAGUGAUGCAGAGGUCGGUGGAAUUGCCGGUGUAGUGGUGAAAUGCGUAGAGAUCGGCAGGAACACCCAGGGGGAAACCAGCCGACUGGGCAUCCUAACUGACGCUGAGGUGCGAGAGCGUGGGGAGCGAACCGG
rnacentral:rRNA from 1 species